GUUGAGGCUGGUGGUAUGUGGUGGUGUCUGCGCCAGAGCCGCAACGAUUGCGUGCGGAGGGCCACACGGUCCAAUACACCGAUCCGUGACG